rnacentral:piRNA from 1 species
UUUGUUGUGUUCAUUAUGGAUCAGCCAUG